GACGCCGAGGCGGUGACGUCAUCGCGAAACUGUACAAACACACGUGGCGCUCAGCGUCACCAGGCGAGUUUCACUCCGUCGUGGUUGAUAUCCUUCGUUUAACCAGGGACCGGAGCGGAGAUAUUGAUCGGGGAUGAACGUGAAUGGAGCCACGCGUCAAGGGUGACAUCAAGCAAAGAGAAGACACGGUUGUGAAGAACAGCUGCUCGAGGGUUAAAGUUAUUCCCUUCAGCGAUUAUCUCAGCCACUGGUCCCAAACCGCCACCACUCAAAACCCCGGCACCCAAGCUUCCACCUCUACCCAGGACCAGAGCCCUAGGCUGAUCAGGGUGACUAGGCAAGCCCCAAGGGUUCGGCCUACGCCACAGCCUCAGAUCGAACCCGACCAUGUGAACUGGGAGGCAGAAGCGGAGGAACUCGUGAAAUGGACUCGAGCUUUGAGUCCCAGACUCCUGGAAUAAUUAUGCUUUUACUUCUCCCAUUCAAAUAAUGUACCAUUAUUACUUUGUCAAUUUCCAACUUGCCUCCUAUUGCUCUUUGUAGGUUGAGUAAAUGAGGAAUGGCAUUCUGGUAUCUGACUGGACCUCCUAUUGCCCGUUCUUCUGUCUCUGCACCACCUACGCUUCACAACCUGCAGCCUGUCAACCUAAAUAGCAUGAAUACAAUCAUCUCGAACCUAAAAACGUCUUCCAUCCUCUGCCCUCGAAACGUGUUACUGCCUAUCCACGUUGUCCAUAUUACCAGCAUCAUUAAUGCCUCCAAUACUGCUGCUCUUACUACCAUCAUGAAUUAACCCACAAUGAACCGCAACAUGCCUGCGAAGUUAUAUCCCGUCUCAAACUUCCCAUGUAAAAUUCCGAUAAAGGGUUAUCUUUUCCCAAGUCUGCAAAUUCCUGUCUCUCCAUGGUUUCCAUGGGCCAGUCAAAUCUGGUUUCCACCAAGGUUAUUCUACUGACACUUAUUAUCUCCUGUAUGUCCGAAAUAAACAUCUCUUCAGACCAUGAAUCUCUUUCAACCCCAUCCUUCCAGAGUGCCUCCAUUACUAUAUAGACCAGCGGUUCCAAAUCUGUGUUACGCGGAUCCCUGGUGGUCCACGAGGCUACUACAGGGGGUCCUUGGAAAACACAAAUAAUAUAAUCACAUCCUCACCAAGGCAAUGCACAAUUUCAAAUAACUACUGCAGUAGCAUGUGGUGGCCUACAAAAUGUUUGGAGGUUGAAAAGGGGUCCUCACACUUGAAAGGGUAGAGAACCGCUGAUAUAGACAAAAUCAGUUUUGAAUGUGUUGGAAAGUUAAAUCAAUUGUAAUACGUGUUGUGAAUAGACAUAAUGAAUAUAAAUAUCCAAGAUAAGUUCGGGCACAUCAACUUUUAGUUUGACAAGUAAUAUGCUUCAACUACAGCAAGCAGUCUAUAGGCAUCAUCAGGAUGAAAAUGUUCCACCAUCGCAAUAGGCUUAAAUAGACACAGCACCCAUUGUGGGGAUGGGAGAGAGGAAUCAGGGCAGACAGUUAU